rnacentral:rRNA from 1 species
CGGGUGAGUAACGCGUGAGGAACCUGCCUCAAAGAGGGGGACAACAGUUGGAAACGACUGCUAAUACCGCAUAAGCCCACGGCUCGGCAUCGAGCAGAGGGAAAAGGAGCAAUCCGCUUUGGGAUGGCCUCGCGUCCGAUUAGCUAGUUGGUGAGGUAAUGGCCCACCAAGGCGACGAUCGGUAGCCGGACUGAGAGGUUGAACGGCCACAUUGGGACUGAGACACGGCCCAG